GCAUNGAUGAAGAACGCAGNGAANUGGNAUAUGUAAUGUGAAUUGCNGAUUUUCAGUGAAUCAUCGAAUCUUUGAACGCACCUUGCGCUCCUUGGUAUUCCGAGGAGCAUGCCUGUUUGAGUGUCAUUAAAUUCUCAACUCCCUUUGAUUUCUUCGAAGGCGAGCUUGGAUCGUGGAGGCUUUGCCGGCNGCNCAAAUCGGNUCCUCUGAAAUGCAUUGNCAAAGGNGUGUGCAUGAAUUGGCCUUUCGGNGUGAUAAGAUCNCCGUGGNUGGAUUGNUUUAAUGCCUAUGCCCAAUCUUUUCCAUUGNUUUGAAAA
rnacentral:misc_RNA from 1 species